rnacentral:tRNA from 1 species
UGGGGAUUAGCUCAGGGGUAGAGCGCACAACUGAUAAUUGUGAGGUCGGUGGUUCGAAACCACCAUCCCCAA